rnacentral:lncRNA from 1 species
AGAGAGAGAAUUUAGCUGGAAUACUAUUUUAAUAGUAUUUAGGCUUUUUUAUUAUCGAGUAUUCAACUUUGUAAUAAAAAAUUAUAGAAUUAGAAUGAUAGUACUCCCCUAGAAUUUAGUGGUUCAUGGUCCUUCAGGGUUGAGUAGGUGGUUGGUUGAAUAGUAUAAUCUAAAGAGUGAAAUUAAUUAAAGUAUAGAUCCAAUGGCUACAAAUCGAUAGCAAAAGAGCCCAAAAGGUCAAAUUGAUUAAUUGAUGCUUUAGUUAGU